rnacentral:rRNA from 1 species
UGGGGAAUUUUGGACAAUGGGCGAAAGCCUGAUCCAGCAAUGCCGCGUGUGUGAAGAAGGCCUUCGGGUUGUAAAGCACUUUUGUCCGGAAAGAAAUCCUUGGCUCUAAUACAGUCGGGGGAUGACGGUACCGGAAGAAUAAGCACCGGCUAACUACGUGCCAGCAGCCGCGGUAAUACGUAGGGUGCAAGCGUUAAUCGGAAUUACUGGGCGUAAAGCGUGCGCAGGCGGUUUGCUAAGACCGAUGUGAAGUCCCCGGGCUCAACCUGGGAACUGCAUUGGUGACUGGCAGGCUAGAGUAUGGCAGAGGGGGGUAGAAUUCCACGUGUAGCAGUGAAAUGCGUAGAGAUGUGGAGGAACACCGAUGGCGAAGGCAGCCCCCUGGGCAAUACUGACGCUCAUGCACGAAAGCGUGGGGGAGCAAACAGGAUUAGAUACCCUGGUAGUCCACGCCCUAAACGAUGUCAACUAGUUGUUGGGGAUUCAUUUCCUUAGUAACGUAGCUAACGCGUGAAGUUGACCGCCUGGGGAGUACGGUCGCAAGAUUAAAACUCAAAGGAAUUGACGGGGUCAUAGCUGUUUCCU